rnacentral:rRNA from 1 species
GACGAACGCUGGCGGCGUGCCUAAUACAUGCCAGUUGAGCGCUGAAGGUUGGUACUUGUACCAACUGGAUGAGCAGCGAACGGGUGAGUAACGCGUGGGGAAUCUGCCUUUGAGCGGGGGACAACAUUUGGAAACGAAUGCUAAUACCGCAUAAAAACUUUAAAAACAAGUUUUAAGUUUGAAAGAUGCAAUUGCAUCACUCAAAGAUGAUCCCGCGUUGUAUUAGCUAGUUGGUGAGGUAAAGGCUCACCAAGGCGAUGAUACAUAGCCGACCUGAGAGGGUGAUCGGCCACAUUGGGACGGAGACACGGCCCAAACUCCUACGGGAGGCAGCAGUAGGGAAUCUUCGGCAAUGGACGAAAGUCUGACCGAGCAACGCCGCGUGAGUGAAGAAGGUUUUCGGAUCGUAAAACUCUGUUGGUAGAGAAGAACGUUGGUGAGAGUGGAAAGCUCAUCAAGUGACGGUAACUACCCAGAAAGGGACGGCUAACUACGUG